rnacentral:rRNA from 1 species
GCAGGCUAACACUGCAAGUCGAGCGGAGUGAUGGUGCUUGCACUAUCACUAGCGGCGGACGGGUGAGUAAUGCUUAGGAAUCUGCCUAUUAGUGGGGGACAACAUCUCGAAAGGGAUGCUAAUACCGCUACGUCUACGGAGAAAGCAGGGGAUCACUUGUGACCUGCGCUAUAGAUGAGCUAAGUCGGAUAGCUAGUUGGUGGGGUAAAGGCCUACCAAGGCGACGAUCUGUAGCGGGUCUGAGAGGAUGAUCCGCCACACUGGGACUGAGACACGGCCCAGACUCCUACGGGAGGCAGCAGUGGGGAAUAUUGGACAAUGGGGGGAACCCUGAUCCAGCCAUGCCGCGUGUGUGAAGAAGGCCUUAUGGUUGUAAAGCACUUUAAGCGAGGAGGAGGCUCUUUUGGUUAAUACCCAGAAUGAGUGGACGUUACUCGCAGAAUAAGCACCGGCUAACUCUGUGCCAGCAGCCGCGGUAAUACAGAGGGUGCAAGCGUUAAUCGGAUUUACUGGGCGUAAAGCGCGCGUAGGCGGCCAAUUAAGUCAAAUGUGAAAUCCCCGAGCUUAACUUGGGAAUUGCAUUCGAUACUGGUUGGCUAGAGUGUGGGAGAGGAUGGUAGAAUUCCAGGUGUAGCGGUGAAAUGCGUAGAGAUCUGGAGGAAUACCGAUGGCGAAGGCAGCCAUCUGGCCUAACACUGACGCUGAGGUGCGAAAGCAUGGGGAGCAAACAGGAUUAGAUACCCUGGUAGUCCAUGCCGUAAACGAUGUCUACUAGCCGUUGGGGCCUUUGAGGCUUUAGUGGCGCAGCUAACGCGAUAAGUAGACCGCCUGGGGAGUACGGUCGCAAGACUAAAACUCAAAUGAAUUGACGGGGGCCCGCACAAGCGGUGGAGCAUGUGGUUUAAUUCGAUGCAACGCGAAGAACCUUACCUGGCCUUGACAUAGUAGAAACUUUCCAGAGAUGGAUUGGUGCCUUCGGGAAUCUACAUACAG